rnacentral:rRNA from 1 species
CGCUGGCGGCGUGCCUAACACAUGCAAGUCAACUUGACUGAAGGAGCAAUCUGACAGUAGAGUGGCGCAAGGGUGCGUAACGCGUAAGUAACUUGCCCAAGGUAGGAAUAACGUCGAGAAAUCGGCGCUAAUACCUCAUAAUGCAGCGGAUCCGCAUGGAUAUGUUGUUAAAGGUUUACCGCCUUGGGAUAGGCUUGCGUCUGAUUAGUUAGUUGGUGUGGUAACGGCACACCAAGGCUACGAUCAGUAACUGGUCUGAGAGGAUGAUCAGUCACACUGGAACUGAGACACGGUCCAGACUCCUACGGGAGGCAGCAGUGAGGAAUAUUGGGCAAUGCUCGAAAGAGUGACCCAGCAACGCCGCGUGGAGGAUGAAGGUAUUCUAUAUCGUAAACUCCUGUGAGAGCAGACGAAAGACAGAUUAUUAAUCUGGAUGACUGUAUGCUCAGAGGAAGCCCCGGCUAACUACGUG